rnacentral:rRNA from 1 species
AUUGAACGCUGGCGGCAGGCCUAACACAUGCAAGUCGAGCGGAUGAAGGGAGCUUGCUCCUGGAUUCAGCGGCGGACGGGUGAGUAAUGCCUAUGAAUCUGCCUGGUAGUGGGGGAUAACGUCCGGAAACGGGCGCUAAUACCGCAUACGUCCUGAGGGAGAAAGUGGGGGAUCUUCGGACCUCACGCUAUCAGAUGAGCCUAGGUCGGAUUAGCUAGUUGGUGGGGUAAAGGCCUACCAAGGCGACGAUCCGUAACUGGUCUGAGAGGAUGAUCAGUCACACUGGAACUGAGACACGGUCCAGACUCCUACGGGAGGCAGCAGUGGGGAAUAUUGGACAAUGGGCGAAAGCCUGAUCCAGCCAUGCCGCGUGUGUGAAGAAGGUCUUCGGAUUGUAAAGCACUUUAAGUUGGGAGGAAGGGCAGUAAGUUAAUACCUUGCUGUAUUGACGUUACCAACAGAAUAAGCACCGGCUAACUUCGUG